UUGAUUCAUUUAUGUUUUUUUACUCAGAGAUCCACUAUAGAAACAGGGUUUGGCUGGCCGCCGGCGGGCUGCUCCCUGUCUCCAGGGGGCCUUUACCGAGAAAGGCCGGCCUGCGCCGAGGCAACAGUAUGGGUAUAAGUUCACAAAGGGUUUCUGGGUGCGCCGAGGCGCGUUCCAGCAAUGAUCCCUCCGCUGGUUCACCAACGGAGA
rnacentral:misc_RNA from 1 species